GAAUCAUAUACUUCAAAUUGCUGGCUGUUGUUGUUGAUGAUGAUCGUCUCUUUUCAGUAUUCCUAUCUGUUGAAGAAAUUCAUUCAGAUCAAUCUGAGGCUUCUCAGCUUGAUCACCACGAACGGCUACAUUGUUGUGUGAUGAGAAUUCAUCUUCCUUCUCCUUGAUCAUCACGUGUGGACUUGUCAUUGUCAAGUAUUCAGGUUGUAAUUUACUAUACUUUUGAGUUUCAUUUUUGGGAAUGUCGGUG
rnacentral:misc_RNA from 1 species